rnacentral:tRNA from 1 species
GCCGAUGUAGCUCAGCUGGUAGAGCAACUCAUUCGUAAUGAGUAGGUCGCGGGUUCGAAUCCCUUCAUCGGCU